AAAUGAACGAUGAACGAACCAUUGACCCGGAGACACGGCGUUAAACAUCACCACACUGUCUGCGGGAGAAGGCUUCACGCAGCCACUGCGCGCGACCUGCCGUCGCCAACUUAAUUAAGCCGCAACUAGUGGCCGCCCUCGCUCAAAGGCCUCAACUCGCCAACACUCCGAGAAUCCCGCACACAAUCUACAAACCAUAGUUGGACGUCUGCAGGGGCCGCAUCACCACAAGACAAAAGGAGAAAAGCAAGCUCAGUUUCUUGUGUAUUUAUUCUGUAACGUUACUGACUUACUGAGAAUGUGAUAUUUUAGGUUCAUAACUAAUAACUAGGGGCGGAUGCGGGCAGACGAGCUGCCGCUUACUGCGGAGCGGCUCCCGGUAACGUGAGAUGUGAUGUUAUAUAAUAUAUUAUAACAUUUCUAUAGGUAGAUAUUCGUGUGAAUUCUAUUAACGUUACUUAACGUUAAAUUUAAACAGCAGAAGUGACGCAUGCGGUCGACAAACGCGUCCUUAAGGAUGCAGCCUAGCGCCUUUGAGACUCAGCCACAGCCUGUGUGUGUGAGAGAGGUCAAACCUUGCAUUAUGUUAUAAAAGGGGUGAAUGAGUAAUGAUAAAACAACACAGGGGUAGACAGGAUGACCACACCUCACCGUUUUUUAGUUUCCUGUAUGUAAAAUACUGCCACAGAGCUGCAUGUCUUUAGCUAUUUGCAAGCUGACCAAAUGCUUACCAAACAACUUUGCAGUAUGCAGCUACAGAGAGUUUAAGACGUCUAUCACGGGACAAUUUUGCCACACCGGUGCAACAAUGGAACACUGUGAUGGUUUCUCAACGAUAUGACAGCCCAAAUGGGAUUAACCACCCAGAGCACCAAUGAGGUUGAGUAAUUUAUAAUUGUUUUAUUUUCUCCAUCUUAACGUAUUUAAAAUGUAUUUACAUGCAUGCAGAUCUUUUAGAUAUCGGCUGCAACCGGAAUCCUAAAGCUUGCGGAAAGCUAACUACAAGCUACAAAGCUAACUACAGACUUAGAUAAGAAACCUUCAAGAAAUAGAAAAGAAAAUCAAGGCGUUGAGUGGCUCACCACUGCCCUCAACAAGCAAGGCAUCUUGACAAGGUAAUGAAGUGAUUGGUGUGAUAUAAAAAGUAAAGAACAAAAAUGUUAUUAUAACUGUGAAAUAUUUUCGAAAACGGCCUAUGGAUUCCUCCCAAUAAAGAGGGUGGGGUUAAACACUCAAAUUGAGGGUAUAUUUUUAGAUUUGCGUUUAUGUACAUGUGUUUAAACAGCUUUCUUUUAUUAUUGCACCGACGGGAUGUGGCGGCUUGGUCUAAACCAAAUGAAGAGACUGAACUUUUUAUUCCAAGAUACGUCGACACGAUAAGCGAUGAGGAGUUAUUCCGCUGUGCUGAGCUCGAAGAGGAUGUGAGAACAGGAGGCCGCAGGUGAGCAGAGAGGGUCCUCUGCGCUGAUUUUACCGAAUGCCGAAGAGGAUAUGCCUAGACUUACAGUAAUAGAUCCACAAACGAGCAUGAAUCACGACACUGACUCAAAUAACCGACAUGUCGAGUUGUUUAAGGAGAUGCAGGACUUGUACCGCUCCAACCAGAAUUUAACAUCAUUAGUGACCAGUCUCUGUAAAUUGCAGGUCGAUUGAUUAAAAGAGCACAGGACAAGACUCAGUGAACCAUAAAACAUUAUAUGACAAUACAUGAGAAAGCCAGUUCGACUAUCAUAGACCUGCUCACAGAUAGAUUUAAUCAAGGUGAUCUAUAAGGGUUUUUGGUGUCAUAAAGGGUUGUUACGUGUGUGGGUAAUGGAAAAGGUUCCUUAUGUUUAAAACCCAGUAUGGUCGCCAGCUGUCCUUCAAGGGACAGAAAUCCACACAUUGGUAGCUGGAUGGUGCAUCUUGUGUUGUGUCGUGUCGUGUGUGUUGGUGCAUACAAAGAGGGAGUUAGAUCUGAUCUGCUGGAAGCACCAUUGAGCAGUUUGAAACACUCAAACGUAACAUUUAAUGAAACUGUGGGAGGGACGUUCAGAUGAAGCCUAUGACCCCCGUUGGACCAGCUAUUGUAGUGAAGCAGGUACAAUGGUGACAUGAAGCCCUGUCACACCGCAGUGUCUGCUCUUUGAUUAAAAGGAUGCUUGUAAGUCACUUACGGUCAGGGCUAGAAAGGUGUGUUGGUAUAUUAAUGUUCAUAACGUGUCCCUGGGUUAGCUUGUGUUUUCAACCCCUCUUAUGAUUGUCUGCCUUGUACCGAAUUAUUUCCUCCUGUGUCCAAUCACCUGCACCUCCUCGGUGUGUUUAAACCAUUGUCUCUC